rnacentral:rRNA from 1 species
UGGGGAAUCUUGCACAAUGGGUGAAACCCUGAUGCAGCGACGCCGCGUGAGCGAUGAAGCCCUUCGGGGUGUAAAGCUCUUUUGGCGGGGACGAUGAUGACGGUACCCGCAGAAUAAGCCCCGGCUAACUUCGUGCCAGCAGCCGCGGUAAGACGAAGGGGGCAAGCGUUGUUCGGAAUUACUGGGCGUAAAGGGCGCGUAGGCGGUCCGAUCAGUCAGGCGUGAAAGCCCUGGGCUUAACCUGGGAGGUGCGCUUGUUACUGUUGGGCUUGAGUGUGGGAGAGGAUGGUGGAAUUCCCAGUGUAGAGGUGAAAUUCGUAGAUAUUGGGAAGAACACCGGUGGCGAAGGCGGCCAUCUGGACCACAACUGACGCUGAGGCGCGAAAGCGUGGGGAGCAAACA